UGUCCACAUCACAUUGAAACACUGGUUCCUGUGAAGAUCACAAAAGUUUAGCAAUAUCAAGCCUGGUCAGUACCAAGAUUGGUAACCACUUGGGAAUAACAGGUGCUGUAUG